rnacentral:sRNA from 1 species
GCCAGGCAUGGUGACGCAGGCCUGUAAUCCCAGGGGCUCAGGAGGCUGAGACAGGAGGAUCACCAGUUUAAAGUCAGCCUCAGUAACUCAAUGAGGCCCUAAGCAACUCAAUGAGACCCUGUCUCUA